rnacentral:lncRNA from 1 species
UCCAAUUUAACUUACUUAUUUGUAUCACUGUUAUGUUUAAUUAGUGUCUAUAUAUAUAAUACAUAUAUGCAUUUAUAUAGGGAGAGAAUUAUUUCCACCGGCCUAUAUAUAUAUAUACAUAUUAGAUCGACUGUUCACAGGUCAAGAUAAAUAGUGUUACUGAUAAUUAGAGAAAGAAAAUUCAUAUAUAAUUACAUGGUCGAUUUCUUGUUUGUAUAAAAGAAGUUUCACCCAGAUCAGAUUAGCC